AGCCUAUCCUGACACUCACUCUUGAGACCAGGCUGGCCUCGAACUCACAUAGAUCCUCCUGCCUCUGCCUCCCGAGUGCUGGGAUUAAAGGCAUGAGCCACCAAUGCCCGACUGUCUUGAACUUUUUGAAAUGUCAUUUGAUAUAUAAUCAUUCAUUAAACAACUCAGUGACCAAAUUGAAACAACUUAAGGAAACAAAGACUACUUUGGUUUAUAAUUUCAGAGGGUUUAGUUUGUUGCUACUUGGCCCUAUGAGUGAUUGUGUAUGUGCGUGCGUGCGUGCGUGCGUGCGUGCGUGCGGGUGUAUGUGUGUGUCUGUGAUGAGGGGAGAACUAUGCAUAUGGGUGUAUGUAGCCCUUCCUGGCUUCACAGAGGAGAUUUUUCAUUGACACUACAUGCCAUGUUUAUGUCAAUUUUAAGAGGACCCUGCAGUCACAUGGUGCAUUUUGCCCAAAAGCAAAGCGGUUAAGACACAUCUCCACUCACACCAAGGUGGGGGAAUACUGCUACUUAUUACAUAUCAAAUGUUUUAGAAGAAAUCGGUAACAAAAAUAAAUUACUAUGCUAGAAAUAAGACAAGGCAUCUAGGAAUGAAGAAGGAUUUAUUCAGAAGAGUGAAAAACUCUAUAUGUAAACAUAUGUGGUCAGGAUUUUACAUAAAGCCUCAAUUUGUAACUCAUUACCACAAAGGUCCAGACAGCUCUGUGAAUUUUUAGCACAGUCACAAAAGGGAUAUAAAGAAACAAUUAUUCUUAUUAAACCUCAUUUCUUAUUAAACCUUUUUAAGGAAUGGGGUGUGGUUAAAAAUAAAUCUAUUGUGGGAAUUCAAAUAAAGUUGGAAAUAUUUGUAGAAAUUACUUGGUGAUAGUAGGGGCUGUUGCAGCUAUGGUGGAGAGCUGGUAAAUAUUAACCACUCUCUCAGAAAAAACUUGUCCUAACAAGAAGAGACUCCAUUGACAUCAUCUAGCUCAUGUGAGCUGUUAGGUGCCCUGAAGCACAGAGGAGCAGUUUCCUGGAGGGUGGCUAAAACUAGGUGUUAUGAGGACUAGGGAAUUAGAAGAUAAUGUGAUGACUAAGACUUUAGUCAGGUUUAGGCCUUAGGUGCCCUGGAAGCAUGACUAUGCCCCAAGAGAAGAAAACAUUGGAAGAAUAAAUGUAAAAUAACCUUUAUAUUAAGCUAACUAACUCAUUGGAAGCCAAGAAAUUUAGUCUAGGCUAGCCUAGAUCUUGUUAUGUAGCUGAGGGGAUGACCUUCACACCUGAUUCUCUUGCCUUUACCUCCUAAAUGUUGGAAUUAUAGGCAUUCUUACCACAACCAAUUGGAUUUUUGUUUUACUGUUUGUUUUGUGAUAAGUUCUUACUAUGAAAGUUUAGCUGGUCUGGAGCUCACUAUAUAGAUUAAGCUUGUCUUGAAUUCAUAGAGAUCCUGCUUCUGCCUCCUGAAUGCUGGAAGUAAAGGCAUGUGCCACCUUUAAUCUGGUGUUGGGAUUAGAACCCAGAACAUCAUACAUGCUAGGCAAACAUUCUACCAACUGAACCUCAUUCCCAGACAAGAAGUAAUUCUUCAGAAUUCUUCUUCAAAUCUCAGUUAUGCUAUAGCAAAACUUCAAUUCCUUCAAAGUAGCCUCUGUGAGAAAACAUAUGUAUGAUGUAAAAUAUGGACCUUAGCUGGACUUAGCAGAAUAGCUUCUACACAGUGUUGGUAGGUGUGGCAAGGUUUGGUACAGCAGCAGUGUAGUGAGAUAGACUGUUACUCCUGAGAGCCUUGGCAAAAGUUAUGCUAGUGUGGUGAAAGCUGGUUCUGUGCGUAUGACAUCACUUGGGAUUUUCCAGGAGGAAUCUGAAGGGGAGUAGCUCUGGAACACUGGAGUCCCUGCAGGAACAGUGAGUGGGAAAACAACCUCCAGCUCAGGAAUGAAUCCAGUUCUUCUCCAAAGGAUCACCUAUUAUCUAGGGAAGACAGUUCAUGGAUCAUUAAUUUGUGGACCACAGUCUAAGUCAUCUUACUCUGGAGGAUGCCAGAUUUCCUUGGAACAUCUGAAAACAAUGGAAGAAAAUUCAUGGUGGAUGCCAUGUUCUGAUGACACUCAAGUAGCCUACGUGCUGGUCCAUGCAUGAGGAAUUCAGCUGUUGUCAACAGCCUUCAUAAUGAGUGACUGUGCAGAGUCUUCCAUCCAGUUCCCAAGGAUACUUGCUUUGCCUCCUGAGGCUGCAUAGUACUGCAGCUCUACUGCUGACCUUCAGAAACAAUACAUUUCUCUUCUGUCUAUUUACUUAUGCAAUGUUAGGGCAACUGUUAUACAGUAGUAAAAUAUCUAUCCUCUGCUGAGAAUCAAACUCAGGGCCUUGCCUAAGCUAGGCAAAUAUUCAAACUCUCCUUACAGCCUUAUAGCAUGUUAAAGGCCCUAUCAUCAAAUCCAUCUAGUCUUUCUAAAAUUACAUUUUUAGAAAAGAAGUGAAGACCACACCCUCUGAACUGGAGAUAAACCAAGUACAUUGUUAGUGUAUGUUGCAUACUGAUAGAAUUCCAAAUAUUCACUAUAGUGUAUUCAGUCUCAUCCUGUGGCAAAUGCCGGUGUCCCAUGGGUAAUUGUCUUCCUUUCUUUUACUGUAGAUAUUACCAUAUCUCUGUUUAGUUUUCUCCAAGGGCAGAGAAGGCAGGCUCCCACUUCUGCUUCCAAGAAGUAAAUGCUGACUUUCCAGGCUCUAUUUUUGCAUAGGGUUAUCUGAUCAGAUAGAUUCCAGAAUCCUUUUAGGAAUUACAUUCUGUAGUAGCAACUGUAGUAAAACUUCUAUAUAUGAAGUUGAUAAAUACAGAGAUGUAUGGAAUGCUCCUGGCCUCUUUUAAGCAAGUUAACUUGCUCUCUGAUCUGUAUCCUGUUAGUCAGAUAAGAAACUUAAUCUUAGUUUUCAUUGAGUUUUUCUCUCUUCCCUUUUUAAUGUAGCUUUCAUUGGGUUCUUUUCCCCACUCCCACUUUCAGGGCCAGACAUUGCCAAAGCAUCGGGACAUAGAUUAUGUCUUUGGGAAAGCUGAGCCAGGGGUGAAGCUAAUUGGUAAUCUACAUGUCUAGUCAGGAAAGGACUGAAGAGAUGGUUCCGUAGUUAACAGUGAUCACGGCUCUUGAGGAGCUGGGAGAUGAAUUUCUAGCACUCUCAUCCGGUGACCCACAACUACUUGCAAUUCCAUCUCCAGGUGAUACAAUACCCUUUCCUGGCCUCCUUGGGCAUCCACAGGCAUGCAUGUGCUCAAACAUAUGCUCAUGCAUGUGCACACACAAAUAGAUAAUUGAAUAAGUCUUUCUUUUAAAAAUUUAGAAGAAACAGAAAAGAUGAAAACAACUUGGCUAUGAUGGUUAACUCCAAUUGUCAACUUGAUGAGACUGAGCACAGUAAGGAGAUCAUUUAAUGAACAACUCAAUGCAAAAACUACAGGGGUUUCUUUGGAGGACUUAGACUAAGAGGACAUCAUCCUAUAGGCCAAGAGCCCAGGUGGAAUAAUGUGGGAAAAAUGAGAAAAUGGGGAUCUUUCUCUCUGUCUCUCUCUCUCUCUUUCCUGGGUACCUUAUAUGAGCAGUCCUACUUUGAUGAUCUAAAACCCCAAGACUGGAACAACCUUUUCUUCUCUUAGGUUGUCUCUCUUGGUUAUUUGCUACAGCAACCAAGGGUCUACCAAGCACAGUGAAGUACCUUGAGGAACCUUAGGCACUCUACAGAAGCACUCAGAGAAGCAUAAGCUAUAAUGCAGAGAAUGAAUGGCACUUCAUGAACCACUGAGGCUGCAAGGGGAAUCAGCACAGGGGAAACCAGAGCCAGGGUGCUCAAUAACAGACACACUCACUGUUCAGAAAUGAGAAACUUAAAAGUCUCCAAUUAUUUGAUCUCUUUCCACUUAACUACUUUCUCAAUAUUAUCUAUUUUCAUGUGCAACAGUAUUUCAAAACAUGAAAAUAUUUAAAAUCCACACUCACACCCUUAUCUCAAAGCCUGGAUUUAGUCAGAAAGCCAGUGCUGCUUCUGGCUCCCUAGAGCUGGUUACCCUGUUUAAUUGGAUUGAUGGUGACAGCUGUAAUUACCUUCAAUGAGAUUGUGUGUCAUGUGAUUGUGCCUUCUGCAUCCGUGCGAGCUGGACUUGUAGGAUACAUACAGAAGCAGCCUCCAGUUAGAGAGGGGGUAUCAUAGCUUCCCAAGUCAUGUUCACUGCUGUGGAAGAUUUUAAAUGUUUAUAGGAAGCCAAGGAAUUAGUCCUUGGAAGCAGGUCAUUGUGACUCCAAGCAGCCCCAUUUAGAUCUCUGGGACAGGGAAAUGGCUGCAUUUCUAGGCUUUCAUGAUUAUUUAAAUAAACAUCUUUUUAAAAAGGA